rnacentral:rRNA from 1 species
CCUACGGGUGGCAGCAGUGGGGAAUAUUGGGCAAUGGACGCAAGUCUGACCCAGCAACGCCGCGUGAAGGAAGAAGGCUUUCGGGUUGUAAACUUCUUUUAAGGGGGAAGAGCAGAAGACGGUACCCCUUGAAUAAGCCACGGCUAACUACGUGCCAGCAGCCGCGGUAAUACGUAGGUGGCAAGCGUUGUCCGGAUUUACUGGGUGUAAAGGGCGUGCAGCCGGAGAGACAAGUCAGAUGUGAAAUCCACGGGCUCAACCCGUGAACUGCAUUUGAAACUGUUUCCCUUGAGUGUCGGAGAGGUAAUCGGAAUUCCUAGUGUAGCGGUGAAAUGCUUAGAGAUCAUACAGAACACCGAUUGCGAAGGCAGCUUACCAAGCUACUUCUGACGUUGAGGCACGAAAGCGUGGGGAGCAAACAGGAUUAGAUACCCGGGUAGUC